rnacentral:rRNA from 1 species
AUUGUAGGCUGAAACUCGCCUACAUGAAGCUGGAGUUACUAGUAAUCGCAGAUCAGAAUGCUGCGGUGAAUGCGUUCCCGGGUCUUGUACACACCGCCCGUCACACCACGGAAGUUGGGGCGCCCGAAGCCACUUAGCUAACCCUUUUGGGAAGCGAGUGUCGAAGGUGAAAUCAAUAACUGGGGUGAAGUCGUAACAAGGUAUC